rnacentral:rRNA from 1 species
GACAGAGGGUGCAAACGUUGUUCGGAAUUACUGGGCGUAAAGCGUGUGUAGGCGGCCAAGAAAGUCGGAUGUGAAAGCCCCGGGCUCAACCCGGGAAGUGCACCCGAUACUGCUUGGCUAGAGUAUCGGAGAGGUUGGUGGAAUUCUCGGUGUAGAGGUGAAAUUCGUAGAUAUCGAGAGGAACACCGGUGGCGAAGGCGGCCAACUGGACGAAUACUGACGCUGAGACACGAAAGCGUGGGGAGCAAACAGG